AUUGAACGCUGGCGGCAUGCCUUACACAUGCAAGUCGAACGGCAGCACGGGUGCUUGCACCUGGUGGCGAGUGGCGAACGGGUGCGUAAUACAUCGGAACGUACCUUAUCGUGGUGGAUAACGCAGCGAAAGCUGUGCUAAUACCGCAUACGCCCUGAGGGGGGAAGCGGGGGAUCGCAAGACCUCGCGCGAUUAGAGAGGCCGAUGCCUGAUUAGCUUGUUGGUGGGGUAAAAGCCCACCAGGGCGACGAUCAGUAGCUGGUCUGAGAGGACGAUCAGCCACACUGGGACUGAGACACGGCCCAGACUCCUACGGGAGGCAGCAGUGGGGAAUUUUGGACAAUGGGGACAACCCUGAUCCAGCAAUGCCGCGUGAGUGAAGAAGGCCUUCGGGUUGUAAAGCUCUUUUGUCAGGGAAGAAACACCGGCUCUAACACAGUCCGGGAAUGACGGUACCUGAAGAAUAAGCACCGGCUAACUACGUGCCAGCAGCCGCCGUAA
rnacentral:rRNA from 1 species